rnacentral:rRNA from 1 species
AUGCUAGUCAACAGUGGUCAAACCAUUAGCCAUACCACUACACACAUACUACCCCGUACAUGGCCACAUAAUCCUCAUACAUGCCUCGCGGGUUUCCUGUACAAUGGCCAGAUAUUGCCUGUACACUUCCCGUACCAUGCCAAUAUACUAGUCCCAGACAAAAGUCAGAUGGUAGUCGGACACUGGUCUGAUAAUGGUCAGGUGCUAGGUCCUCCUCUACUGAUGUUGCGGGCCGCUUCCUUCGACCCCGGGGCCCUGCGCUCCACACGCCGGCUCUAUCUCCGAUGCAGCCCCGCCUCACCCCCGCCUUCGGCUCUGGCCUUGGGUGCCGCGGCCGGCUGCGCCCCGCGCGCGCACCGGCUCCCGCGCUGGCCGCGGCCCGACUAUCUCCGGCUCCGGGUUGACGCUCCCUCGUCGCCCAGCCGUCUCGCCGCGGCACCGGCUGCUGCGCCGUGCCCCUGGCGCGCGUCCGAGCACCCUCCUGCGACCGCUCCUCCUCUGGAUACUUGCUCCACGCCUGCCGGCUUCAGCCGCCUGGCCCGCGCCGCGCCAUUCGCCCCCGCGUUGACUGGCCACUGCUGGCCCCGCCUCGCCUCGCGCGCGUCCUCGCGCCCGCCGGCUGGGCCCCGUCCGGCAGUCAGCUUCCCCGCGCGCGCUGAGUUGUCGACCCCGCGCCUCCGCCUGCUCGUCGGGUCGCCUCCCAGCCGGCGUCCGCUUCCGCACGCCAGCCAACUCCGCCCCGUCCUGCCGCCUUCGCCCGUGGCCGGAGCUCUGCUUCCGCCGGGUCUGCCCGCGUGCUGGCUCCGCCCUCCCGUGCAAUCGACCGCUGCCGCGCCCCUCUCCGGCUCCGGCUCCCGAGCACCCGGCCGCUCCCCUCGCCGGCUCCGGCUCCCGAGCACUCGGCCGCAGCCGCGCCCCUCGCCGGCUCCGGCUCCCGAGCACCCGGCCACCGCAGCGCCCCUCGCCGGCUCCGGCUCCCUAGCACCCGGCCACUGCAGCGCCCCUCGCCGGCUCCGGCUCCCGAGCACCCGGCUCGGCUGCUCCACUCGCCGGCUCUGGCUCCUGCGCACCCGGCCCCUACCGCGUUCCUCGCCGGCCCCGGGCCCCGGGCGCCCGCGCAGCACCGGUUUUUGCCGCGUCCCGCUAUGGCCGGCUGCUCCUGCAGGAGAAAGGCCGGUUGCCCAUCUGGCUUUGGUAGAAAAAGACAAAGAGAAAAAAGAAAGAAGAGUCCGGCUCCCCGCGUGGAGUCGGACAGAAAGAGAAAAAAAAGAGAGAAAGGGGUUUCCGGCUGAUCGCGUGGAGUCGGACACAAUGAAAAAGAAAAGAGAGAAGAAAAAGACAGAAGGGCCGACUGCUCAGAUGCCAAAGUAG